rnacentral:lncRNA from 1 species
CAGUGAUGGGAGAAGCUGGUGGGAAACUCAGCCCCAGCAGUCUCUUCAGGAAUACGCAAAGGUCUGGAGGUCUUGGCAGCGGCUCUUCCAGUUACCCAGAGCCUGCUGGCUUAUCCAGCGUUAUACAUCCUUUCAAUUUGGGGAUGCCCUUGGGUUUGACAAGCUCAGCUGAGAUCCAUAGCUGUUUGCCCCCUAGUUCAGCCCUGCAUCUACCUCUCUCUAUCUCCGGGAAAUCUGGUUUUGCUCCUCCUGUAAAUCCUACUUUUCCAGGCUCUACCCCUACUCCCCUUUUUACAAGUGGGAAAACUGGGCCAGGCUCCAGUCUUUAAUCUCAGCACCCUGGAGACAGAGGUAAGCUGAGGCCAGCCUAGUCUCACAGCAAGUUUCGAACCAGCCUACGGCUAACACAGCGAGAUUCUGCCUAAGAUAAAAAUUCAAAGUGGGGAAACUGAGGCUGAAGGGGCAAGUCACACAGCAGCGCACAGCGGACUGAACUGGUGAGGAUAAUAAAAUCGCCCCCGUGGGACUGUUACUGUGUGUUCCUCGGGGGAGCCCAUGGAAAUGUUACUUUGUGUUCCUCGGGGGAGCCCGUGGAAAUGACACUGUGUGCUCCUCGGGGACUGUUAAGUUCAUUCAGAGCCCACGUCUUCACUGUGAAAGAGGAAACUCAAAUAGAAUGACUUGGGGUCCUAAGGCCGGCAAACAGAAAGUUGUUUGGGGACAUGGGUCUUUCUGAUACAGAUGAUUCUUCUGAUGGAAUGAAGAGAGACUAGGAAUCCAAAAUCCUAGCUCUCCCAGUUCACUUCAGCAGAUUUUGCCCCCUUCGCGGCCUCUGCCGUUACGUUCAUUUAAUAGUGUCGGCUCGGAUGCUCAGGGCUUCAUCUGGCUGAAGGCGUUAUAACCCCCAAACUCUGCCCGUGACCGUUCAGGAACAGCAGUAGCAAAGUCACCCUCUCCCACGUCACCAGGAGCCUUGGAAAAUCUGAAGCUACAGAUGUGGCUCAGGUUACGCCAUUUCCAUUUUACGGAGGAGGAAACCAGCUUAGGAGAUCUUGAAUGGCAUGGUCUACAAUGGCUGCCCUGAGGUUUGUGCCUCGAAGGGACGAAUACCGCCUAAAUGUUUCAUGCUCACAGUCACCUUCCUCUUCUCACUGACUUGUGACAGACAGUAUUACAUUCUGUCUUUGAGGGCAGCCACAGCAUUGGUGCUGAGAUCCAAGGAUGUUAGAAGUCCCCCAAGAUGUCCCCACAAGAGCAGCCAUUGUCAUUUAGGAUUGAAUUUAGGCUGACACUGUUGUUUGCCCUUCUUCGCUGUCCCCAGCUAACUCCAGCUACAGCCCAAGGGCCUCUGCUACUUCAGCCCCUAUCAGUCAGGAUACCAGCUCCCUUCCAGAAAGUAACUCCUGUCAGUUCCCUUGCCCCCUCAUCCAACAGGAGCGCCCUAGAGGGUGCAUGUCCCCAGACAGCUCAGUCCAUAGGGGAUAUCCCCAGGUUUCUGCAGGAGCAGCUAUAGUAGCGACCAUGACAUUGGGAGCAAGUUCUUUGUGAUAAGAGCUCCAAGGUCUGUUAGCUUCAUGGCUACCUCCCUUCCCCGUCUCUCAGAGAAAAGACCUCCUCUGGGGUCCUAGACUUGGUUCAUCUCUGAGGUAUUUGGGAGGGCAGCCUGUGGUUCUAGUCAGGACAGGGAUCCAAUUAUGCCUACAUACCUGACUGGCCAGGGAGGGCUUCUCUGGGUCUUGUGAGCAAGCAAAACCUAUCUCAUCUUGUAUCCUUGAAAUGUACCGAGGAGCCUGAACUGGAUGAAGAUUCAGGACCUAGACCUAGGUCCCUGGAGGCUAGGUUUGCUGGAGGCAUUUGGCAUCUGGCUGGGUCAUCCCAUUUGGAUGUAAAAGGGUCAGAUUUUAGGCUGUGAUUGUAAAGUAAGGAGGCCACAUUGGGUUUUUAAAUAGUUUUAAAUUUAAGAAAAUGAAUUAAGAGAAAGGACUUAUGGAGUGAGGAUUCUUGGCGGCCUCGGGAUAAUUAUAAAACCAGCUCCAAUUUUCCAAGUCCUUUGCAGUUCCAAGCCUGAGGGGCCACAGUCCCCAGGGGAGCUGGCUGGACAAGGUCUUUGGCACACCCAACAGAAUGGGGCUAUCCCUCUGCCUCCAGGAGGGCACCAUCAUUCCCCACCCCUUCCUUAGAUCCAGAUGCAAGAGAGUGGUCAGACAAAUCUAUUUCGAUGCCUGCUCUGUUGCUUGUCCAUAAAACGGAGUAACGGCAGUUCUCAGUACAGAGUUGAACCUCUGCCCCCAGACCCUCCAUUGCUCUUACAGCUCACACUGCUGGCUUUUCUUCCCCUCCACCAAAGCCACCUGGGGGGAAAGGUGCUUCCAGAUACAUCACCCCUACCAUUUUUUGUACCUGAAACCUGGAGAAAGAAACCAGCCUGAAACCAGGGCACAGCUAUACCUGGCCCUGUGUCAGGGCAGCCACUGCUGAGGCACCUCCCCUUUCCCAUUCUCUCAGCCUCACCCACUCUGGAGGCAGAUGUGCCUUGCACUUGGGAACAGGAGGUGCAAUGGAUGGAGUAAGCUUCACCUUUUUCUUUUUUCUCUCCCUCCCUCUCCCUUCUUGCCUUUCUAUCUCCUCUUCCUCCUCCUCCUCCUCCUCCUCCUCCUCCUCCUCCUUCUCCUCCUCCUCCUCCUCCUCCUCCUAAGAUUUAUUUAUUUUAUUUAUAUGAGUACACUGUCACUAUCUUCAGACACACCAGAAGAGGGCAUCAGACCCCAUUACAGAUGGUUGUGAGCCACCAUGUGGUUUCUGGGAAUUGAACUUAGGACCUCUGGAGGAGCAGUUGGUGUUCUUAACUGCAGAGCCAUCUCUCCAGCCCCCCCUCCUCCUCCUCUUCUUCUUCCUCCUUCCUCAUCUUCCUCUCCCCUCCUCCUCUUCUUCCUCUCCCCUCUCUUUCUUUUUAUAGUAUUGGGGAUUGGGCCUAGAACUUCAUGCAUGCUAGGCAAGUGCUAAGCCACACACCUAGCCUUUUAAUUUUAAAUUUAUCUAUCUAUCUAUCUAUCUAUCUAUCUAUCUAUCUAUCUAUCUAUCUAUCUAUCUAUUACUUAUUCUCUGGAAACUUCAUACACGUGUACAAUUGUGGGGCCAGGGAGCUGUGGGACCAGGAGGAGCAAGAAUGGUUGAAGUGUGUCCUAACCCAGGAAAUCUCCCCUGAGAUCAGCAGGAGUGGGAUCACUGCCCGCACCGCUCUAGGCUGGCACGCCCCUGAGCAUGUAGCCCUGUGCCCCCAACCCUUGCCUCACCAGAGGAAGUCACAGAGCCAGAAUCCAGGCUAAACUUCCUUUCUUACGAGGUCGUGUCCAGCAGCAUGUGGGAUUCCUCCUUACACUAAUGAGGAGGAACCCUCAUAAUUAAUGAGGAGGUGCUUAUCCUCAGCACCCUGGCGUUGGCCAAUGACGUAAACUUACCCCAGUAGCCCCUCCUCACCCCCCAAGGUUUAAAUAGCCUUUAUUCCCCACCCCCAAUAAACUGAACCAGUUCUCCAAAGCUGCUCCCCAGUGUGUGUUCUUUGCCUGCGCACUCUCCUCUCAUUCAUUGCUGACCAAGAUCCUGCCUGCAACCCACCAGCCUGGCUAAGCCUCUUUUCCUCCAGUCCAGCAGGUGUGCAAUGGCCCU